GUAUGCCAGGGGGAGCGGUAAAAUGUUAUAAUCCUUGGUAGACUACCGAUAGCGAAGGCACUUGUCCAGAACGGGUCUGACGGUCAGGAACGAAAGCUAGGGGAGCAAAAGGGAUUAGAUACCCCUGUAGUCCUAGCUGUAAACGCUGCAUACUAUGUGUUGCAUAUCCUAUGUGGGUAUGCAGUGCCGGAGCGAAGGCGUUAAGUAUGCCACCUGGGUAGUACGGCCGCAAGACUGAAACUUUAAGGAAUUGGCGGGGGCGCACUACAAGGAGUGACGCGUGCGGUUUAAUCUAACUACACACAGAGAAUUUCACCAGGGGCGACGGCAGGAUGAAGGUCAGAUUAAAGGUCUUACCUAACGAGCCGAGAGAUGUUGCAUGGCCGCCGUCAGUUCGUGCCGCAAGGUGUCUGGUUAAGUCCAGUAACGAACAAGACCUAUGCCUCUAUUUGCCACCGACUUCUUUUGAAGGAUCGAGCACAAUAGAGGGACUGCCUUGGUAACGAGGAGGAAGGUGUAGGCAACGGUAGGUCUGUAUGGCUCGAAUCUCCUGGGCUACACGCGCGCGGCAAUGGUAAGGACAAUGGGAUACGACUCCGAGAGGAGAAGUCAAACCUCGAAACCUUACCCCAGUACAGAUUGAGGAUUGUAACUCAUCCUCAUGACGCCGGAAUUCCUAGUAAUCGCUUCUCAUCAAGGAGCGGUGAAUAUGUCCCUGUGCCUUGCACACACUGCCCGUCAAGCCAAUCGAGCAGGGUUUGGGUGAGGCUCAAUCUUCGGAUUGAUACGAACCUGAGCUCAGUGAGAAGGGUUAAGUCGUCACAAGGUAUCCGUAGGGGAACCUGCGGAUG
rnacentral:rRNA from 1 species